rnacentral:rRNA from 1 species
GGCCAGACUCCUACGGGAGGCAGCAGUGGGGAAUAUUGCACAAUGGGGGAAACCCUGAUGCAGCGACGCCGCGUGAGUGAAGAAGUAUUUCGGUAUGUAAAGCUCUAUCAGCAGGAACGAGACAAGACGGUACCUGACUAAGAAGCCCCGGCUAACUACGUGCCAGCAGCCGCGGUAAUACGUAGGGGGCAAGCGUUAUCCGGAAUCACUGGGUGUAAAGGGAGCGUAGACGGCUGUGCAAGCCUGAAGUGAAAGGCGGGGGCCCAACCCCGGGACUGCUUUGGAAACUGUGUUGCUGGAGUGCUGGAGAGGCAAGCGGAAUUCCUAGUGUAGCGGUGAAAUGCGUAGAUAUUAGGAAGAACACCAGUGGCGAAGGCGGCUUGCUGGACAGUAACUGACGUUGAGGCUCGAGAGCGUGGGGAGCAAACAGGAUUAGAUACCCCAGUAC